rnacentral:tRNA from 1 species
GCCUCCAUAGCUCAGAUGGACAGAGCACCGGACUUCUAAUCCGGGUGCCGCGGGUUCGAAUCCCGCUGGGGGCU